rnacentral:misc_RNA from 1 species
GAUGAAGAACGCAGCGAAAUGCGAUACGUAGUGUGAAUUGCAGAAUUCAGUGAAUCAUCGAAUCUUUGAACGCACAUUGCGCCCUUUGGUAUUCCAAAGGGCAUGUCUGUUCGAGCGUCAUUUGUACCCUCAAGCUUUGCUUGGUGUUGGGCGUUUUUGUCUUUGGCCCGCCAAAGACUCGCCUUAAAAUGAUUGGCAGCCGGCCUACUGGUUUCGCAGCGCAGCACAUUUUUGCGCUUGCAAUCAGCAAAAGAGGACGGCAAUCCAUCAAGACUCCUUCUCACGUUUGACCUCGGAUCAGGUAUGGAUACCCGCUGAACUUAAGCAUAUCAAUAAGCGGAGGA